GGAGAUAUAGCUCAGUUGGUAGAGUGCUUGUCUCACAUGAACAAGACACUAGGUUCAAUCCCUAGCACCACCA
rnacentral:tRNA from 1 species